rnacentral:rRNA from 1 species
UACAGAGGGUGCGAGCGUUGUCCGGAAUCAUUGGGCGUAAAGGGCGCGUAGGUGGCCCGGUCAGCGUGCGGUGAAAGCUCGGGGCUCAACCCCGAGUCGGCCGUGCGAACUGCUGGGCUCGAGCACUGUAGAGGCAGGCGGAAUUCCGGGUGUAGCGGUGGAAUGCGUAGAGAUCCGGAAGAACACCGGUGGCGAAGGCGGCCUGCUGGGCAGUAGCUGACACUGAGGCGCGACAGCGUGGGGAGCAAACAGG